rnacentral:rRNA from 1 species
AACGAACGCUGGCGGCAUGCCUAACACAUGCAAGUCGAACGAGACCUUCGGGUCUAGUGGCGCACGGGUGCGUAACGCGUGGGAACCUGCCCUUAGGUUCGGAAUAACUCCCCGAAAGGGGUGCUAAUACCGGAUAAUGUCUUCGGACCAAAGAUUUAUCGCCUUUGGAUGGGCCCGCGUUGGAUUAGCUAGUUGGUAGGGUAAAAGCCUACCAAGGCGACGAUCCAUAGCUGGUCUGAGAGGAUGAUCAGCCACACUGGGACUGAGACACGGCCCAGACUACUACGGGAGGCAGCAGUGGGGAAUAUUGGAAAAGGGGCGAAAGCCUGAUCCAGCAAUGACGGGUGAGUGAUGAAGGCCUUAGGGUUGUAAAGCUCUUUUACCCGGGAUGAUAAUGACAGUACCGGGAGAAUAAGCUCCGGCUAACUCCGUG